ensembl:lncRNA
UCACAUGAUCACUAACCACCACAUGUUCAGACUCACCUCAGCUGUGAGAUGUAGGACAGACACUGAAGGAAACUCCUCACUUCACUCUCUUCAUCUGACCAGUCCUUCAGCUCUACUGGUUUUUUCUCUGGUUGGAGUUUCAGCACUUCUAGGAGGAGGGAGGCCUUUCUCUCUGAGAGGUCUAUGGACCAGACUGCAGGAGCUGACUGGUAAACUGGCUGUAAUGCUGGAAGGAAACUCCUGCCUGUUUGAGUCUCAUAGUCCUUCACAUGUGAGUACAGAUCCAGCAGGAAAUCACAUUUCUGAUUGUGAUAUACUUCAGACAGUGACACCACUUUCUCUACAGUUGUUUGUAUGGUUCCUCUCUCAUGGAGGACUGCUUGAAGACACAGAUUCAGUAGGAAUGUCUUCUCUCUCCUUAUCCUCUCUUCAGGGGAUCUUCUCUGAUCCUGUGAAGGAGUAAAACUGCAAGAACAGUUUCACAACAAAUAGAUGAAUAUGUGAGAGAUAUGAUAUGCAUUUCUGAUGGUCACAUUAUGGAGGGUAAAAUAC